GUUUCACAUUUGCUAGCUACCUUUUAGAUCGAAGCCCAUAUAGAAUGAUAGAAGAUAAGAUGGUAGAAGCCCAUCUCCUACUGUAAAUAACCUGCACACUGUGUGUGUGUGUGUGUGUGUGUGUGUGUGUGUGUGUGUGUGUGUGUGUGUGUGUGUGUGUGUCCAGCCAGGUAGAAAAAUGGCAGAAAAAAGACGGACAUCAGAGUAUUUUUCAGUAUACCAAAACGCAAAGCAGAGCAGGCAACAGAUGGCACACAGACAGCAGAGUUGGGGACAGAUAUGCAGGGACAGACUGGCAGAGACAGGGAGUCUCAGGUAAGUUUGUUGAGUCUUUGUUUGGCAACAUUAUGAAAGGUUCUCAAUUUUUUUGACUAGUAAAAUAGGAACAUAAUUGGAAAAUGCCAUGGAUACCCCACUCUCAACUUAAACUGGUGACUGAACUAAGAUUUGUUAAAGGCAAUGGUAUUGCUGUUGUGAUUAGUUGUGUAGUUUUGGGUACCGGUAGUUAGGAGUACGGCAAACACCUUAUUUCCUUGGUUCCUCAAUAUACAUU
rnacentral:lncRNA from 1 species